GGCAGUGGAAACCGCAUUCUAUGUUUCAAAAUGUUAACAUUUGUGGCACAGAGCUUCGCGCGCAGCAGGGCGUUUUUGUCCGGUUUUGGUAAAGUUGAAAAGCUUACCGCUCGCCAUGGUGGCCGGGGCAUUUCUACCUUUUUGUUCAUACUUGAUCCUUUUAUGCGCCUCCACGAUUUUAUUUUACUAAGAUAAAUUGCUUUUACAACGUUAUUUAACCAGUAGGCGAAAACGUUAUUUACCGAUUUGCAGUAAUCCUCAAAACUCUGUGUUUCACUUGUCUCUGAAGACGAGGCGCUUGUAUCCACAUGCAAUGUUUGCAUAGCCUUUUUCUUUAGUUUUGUAUAAAACGUAUAACAACAUAAACGCAAAAAUAUUGUCCCGAUUUCGAAAUAACAAACAGACUUUAGAUAAGUUGCUAAGGUUACAAAUGUAAAAUGUGCACCUAGCUGUUUUGGCAAUUUCUCAAAUAGCUUCACCGUAAAACGUAAAUAUUAGAAAUGUUAUGUAGAAAGCGUAAUGUUUUCUUUUCAGAAUAUAAUUUUAAUUCUUACAAACGAUAAAUUUUAGCAUUGCGUGUAUUCAAAAUAUAUAGUGAAACACAUUCUCACAAAAAAUUGUUCAAUGUUAUUCAGGAUUUCAUCUGUCACCAUAUUGAUUAGCUAUUUUAAUUUGCACUUUAUAAUAAUUGGCGUGAAACAGUUAAGACAAAUCACAAAAUUCGAAAACUAUAUUAUUUCGUGUUUUAUUUAUUCAUUAUAUUUUUUCCCUGGGGAAGUGCAAUUAAGAGAUAAAAUUAGGUGUUAGAUUUUGUAAUUUAUUUUAAGUGUAAUAUUCACUACUUCUUAAGUUUUAAUUCAAUAGUUCAAAAGUUUUACUUAAGUAAGGUAGCACUUAAGUUUUAAUAUAUAUGUUUUUAUUGGUCAGGCUUUAUCCCUAUAUUGUUGUUUUUAUAAAAAAAAACCUUUGUUUAUUAGUGGAGAACGAUGGUAAUGUUUUCCAGGGGUUAAGGCAGGGAAUACCUAGGUUUCGGAAAGAGCCACCAAUCCUCAUCAGUUCCCUUGUUUUUUGUCUGGGAUAUUCUCCCCAGAAGUUAUUUUAAAAAUAACUUCUAUGACAAAAAACAUUUUUACCCAACUGACUAGAUCGUAAGCUCAAUAGAAGAGGAACCAAAGAAUUAAAUAAAACUAAAAUUCUUUUCGAAAAUCUUCUAAAUCUUACAACCGCACUUAUAAACAUUUUCAUCUUUCUCCACUUGUUAUGCUUUCGUUCAACCUGAACGAAGUAGCAUAACCAUGUAAGUUGGUUUUGUCUGUAACAACAAAAACCCCUUCGUCGACCGUGCCUUGUCUAUUAAUAGAACAGUGUGGCUUGUUUGUUCGGGAUACCGUAGUAUUUUGUUGUUGCAAAAUGGUCAGGCUUUAUCCCUUUAUUGUUGUUUUUAUAAAAAAAACAACGUUUGUUUAUUAGUGGAGAACGAUGGUAAUGUUUACCAGGGGGUAAGGCAGGGAAUACCUAGGUUUCGGAAAGAGCCACCAAUCCUCAUCAGUUCCCUUGUUUUUUGUCUGGGAUAUUCUCCCCAGAAGUUAUUUUAAAAAUAACUUCUAUGACAAAAAAAUAUUUUUUUCCCAAGUGACUAGAUCGUAAGCUCAAUAGAAGAGGAACCAAAGAAUUAAAUAAAACUAAAAUUCUUUUGGAAAAUCUUCUAAAUCUUACAACCGCACUUAUAAACAUUUACCGUAUUCACCGUAGUAGUUUCAAAUUACGUAUCUUAAAUUCGUAAUUGGUACUACAGUCGGUGACACAAAAUUUUUUGUGCAGGUAUUUUGACGGUUUUAGGUACAAUACUCACCGAAGUUGUUAGAAAUGUCGUAUUUGAAAUUCGUAAUGAAUACUACAGACUGUGACAGAAAAUUGUCUAUGCAGGUCCAGGUCUUCGUAUAGCUCCGAUAUAACGGUACCUCCCUAUAUACGGUAUUUUGAAGAUGCUAAAUAUACCCGUUUUUAAUAUGGUAAUGGCUUAUAACAAACAACGCCUAUGUAGGUCCACGUCGUAAAGACCCCAAUAAAACUGCUAUGUUUGGUAUUUUUAAGAUUUAAAGAGAAUUUUUAACGGAUUUUUUUUUUGUUUUAAAAAUAAAUUUCCAAGUCUAAUUUUGAGUGAAGUUAUUUUCAAUAUUCUUCAUUAAAGCUAAUCGAUCUCGCUUUAACAGAUCAAAUGCUCCCACAAAGUUAGUCCCGUUCUCAGAAAAUAUACAAGACGGACAAUCUCGCCGACGUAUAAACCUAAAAAAGCGGAAGUAAAGGCAUAUGUCGAAAAGUCGCUUGUGGGUACCAUAUGUAUAGCCUUAGUUGGGUUUGCUUUUUGUGUAUUAAACAAAUUCGACAUUUGAGCCAUGUGGUAGCAUUAUUGGUUGCCGUUCGCUAUAUGUAAGGACUGGCGAUUGUACCAAUCGUCCAUGUAAUCACAUUAAUCUCUAGAGAUUUACGUGUCUACACAAGAACAAGGACAGGUUGCAGGCCUCGAGCUGGAAAUCCAAUCAGGACACAUUACCCCAAGGUCCUAAGAGGUUAACUCUGGUUGAAUGUUUCAAGCGCCAACAGCAAAUUAAGGAAGAAAACCUGACCCGGUUUUCCUCCACGGAAAAACCUAAACACCACAAAUGAGGCAAAUUGUACGCCUGCUACUACAACCGGCAGCCCUCAUAGAAGCUGUGAAUGCCGAUCUCCAUCAUCUUUGCAAAAAGCCACACAAAUCUGACUACAAAUAGAAGCGCUGGAAUCUCAGAUGAAAUGUAACAAUUAAAAAAGAAGCUGCGUUUCGGACAUAAUUAUAGGUUAAUUUAAUUUUCCGUUAUAGGUUGAAGUACCCAUUACGAACUUCAAAUACGAAAUUUGACACACUUCCGGUGUAUAAUGUUGCGAAAAUGCUGGAAAUACCGAAUAUCUCGUGGUAGCGUUAUAUGGGUGCAAUACUAAAACGUAGACCUAUAUAGGUUGUAGUACGAACUUCAAAAACGAAAUUUGACGCACAUCCAGUGUAUAAUGUUGCGAAAAUGCUGCAAAUACCGAAUAUCUCGUGGUAGCGUUUUAUGGGUGCAAUACUAAAACGUAGACCUAUAUAGGCAGUUCUCUUUCAGGGGUUAAGUACUCAGAGAGAACUCCUGGUUUGGAUUUUCAGACUAUUCCAUUGAAAAAUGUGCUAAAAUCAUCAAAAUACCGAAUACCGGGGUACCAUUGUAUGGGAGAUAUACGAUAUCGUGGAACUAUACAGAAAUUUCCCUUUCAGAGGGUAAAGUAUUCGCAGAGAACGUCUUCUCUAGAAUUUAUGACAAUGCCAUUAAAAAUGAGAUUAACAUCAUCAAAAUAUCGAAUGGAGGUACAGUUAUAUGGGAGAUAUACGAUAUCGUGGACCUAUAUAGACAAUACUCUUUCAGGGUGUGGAGUACUCAGAAGGAACUACUUGUAUGGAUUUUAAACCAAUUACAAUUUAAAAUGUGGCUAAAAUCAUCAAAAUGUCGAAUAUCUGUAGGUGCAGUUAUAUGGGGGAUAUACGAUAUCGUAGACCAAUAUAGACAAUUCUUUUUCAAGGGGUUAAAAAAGAACCCCUUGUGUAGAAUUUUAGACAAUUCCAUUGAAAAAUGUGGUUAAAAUCAUCAAAAUAAAUGUGGUUAAAAUCAUCAAAAUACCGCAUAUCGGGAGAUGUACGAUAUCGUGAACCUAUAUAGACAAUUCUCCUCCAGGGAGUAAAGUACCCGCAAAGAACUCCUUUUGUAGAAUUUAAAAAUUGUGCCUAAAUUCAUCCAAAUACCGAAUAUUGAAAGGUACCGUUAUGUGGGGAACAUUCGAUAUCGUGGACCGAUAUAGCCCAUCUUCGAACUUGUCCUACCUGCACACAAAAAAUUGAUCUGUGUGUUUUAGCUAACGUGAUUACAACAGAAGGGCAGGGACAGGUCUACAUUUAAGAAGGGACAGGGCUAAAUCGUCUUAGAAUUUUACGUUGAAUAAGAAUAUAUAUACUUUGUUGGAUCUAAAAUAUUAUUUCGAUGAGUUACAAACUGAAUGACGAACUUAAUAUACCCUUCAUGCAAUGUAUGAUGGAGGGUAUAACAAUUCACGAAACAGCCAAAUUGAAUAAAUAAAAAUACAAAAAUAAAAUUGUUCCGAGUUUCUACUAUUUUAUAUUUCAUUAGGAAUGCAAAUUGUUAUGGUCCACCUACAUCGACACUCUGGUAGGGUUCCGGCACACUCAGUCAUGGCAUUUCGAUCCGGGGGAUUCUCAACCCUUACCACCAGCAGCUGAAAUCUGUUCCCACACAUUGCCCAACCAACCUUGACCUUUUGUUCCAAAAACACAUAUAAAUUUUAAAAGGGUCCCGAAUUCCUACAGACGCUUAUCUCACGCGAAACCUACAUCCUAGUAUCCUCUCUCACAAAUAGAAAUCAGCACAUCAUAUUGCUAUUUAGGCAAUAAAACAAACAUUUAUUUGAGAUUUUGUCAUCGUUACUUAACCUAUAAAUACAUAAUCAUUUAGGAUCACAAAAACUGAACUACUUAUACCGCGGAAAUCAAUUUUGUACAGCUGGGAAUCACUAACUCAGAAUAAAAGCUUUUUCUAGACGCGAAAGCCAAUGCGGCUUCACAACACACAAAGACAUAACCUACCUACCUAAAAAAGCUCUCUUAAGCGGUGGACGAAAUUUCAAUAGUCAUGGGAGUUUUUUUUAUAUUCGCUAAGGGUUAAUCCUACAUUCCCGAAAUUAAAAGCACCGGCAUAAAUAAUCCUCACAAAAUAAAACUUAAGCACUAGGAUACGAAAUAUGGACAACAGAAAUUUAAGAGUUAGACUACAUCAAGCUUGAAUUAGUAUUAUAUUUCGUAUUAUAUUUAUAUUUUUUCGUAGGUAAAAAACCUGAAUUAAAUCAUCAAUGGGUAGCUGGGGAAUAUGCUAACUAUCUAGUGUACUUAGUUAUUCCGUAUAUGAAAGUUAUCUGUAAUUAUAAAUACGGGUAUUUCCCAGUCAUGCCACCAUUGCAUCAGCCAAAGGAGGGUUUCAUAUCCAACUCACACUUUAUUUUGUUGUCAGAUGUUGGAAUUUGUACACGAAAAAAAUUCUGCUCUCCCCUCGUUUAGAUUAUUGAGGAGGACAGUUGAUUUAUUUUUAAUACUUCUGGUGCAAACUAAAAAGAAAAGGAACAUAAAAAACCCGACCACCAUCAGUAUUAGAUACAUUAAAUUUGCACAAUCACCACUUACUUAAAUGUUUUUCUGCCCAAAACAUCGAUUAAAAACGAACUAUUUUCAACAAAAUAAACCUACUUUCGAACUUAUUUAUUUUUGUAUUUUUGUAACAUUUACUUCUUAUUUUUUUCUAUUUUGGCGAAAACGAAGUCAAAAAAAAAAAAAAUCCAACAUCCAGGUUAGGAACGGCACUUAAAUGUCCAGCGUUUUCCCAACUCGGCCUCCUUUAUACCCUCGGUCAAAAUGUCGGAAUUUUCCCUAUUUUCAAAAAAAAUUCUCUUUUCAUAGAAGAUUUAUUUAUUUUCCUUUCUCCACCGGUUCUAAUAAAUCCUACGAUAUUAAUCAGUGUUGUAUUUACUUUACUGUCAUCAUUCCACAUUGGCUGACAAUAAUACAACCCUGAAGUGGCAUCACCUUUUUUUGGUCCGGAAUGUUGUACUGACCGCCUCCGCUUUAUUUUUGAGACAGUGGCUGAUAACUCGGUUGGUGCGACGAACUGUCGACGGUUUUUUAAAGAAAAUACAAUUAAUUGACCUAUAAGUCACAUGCAACAAUACUUCCCCAUUUUGAUUUCAGUCAAUCAAAAUGGUGAUGUUCGUGACUUAUUUGUCUGUUUUUGUUUUAUAUAAUUUAUAAAUUUGCCUAAAGUGAUGGAAACCCGUGGUAAAAAAAAUUAGGGGGACUUACUGUCGGCCACGCAAUAGAAAGGAAAUGGAAGAAGUCAUUUUCAGAAUAUGAAAUUCAGAUUUUCUUCAAUUUGGAAUACUCGUAUUUGCUCUUUGUAUGUAAAUGCGUAUUUAAUAUAAGGACGGAUUUUCCAAUGGACAUGUUCGGUUUAUUAACAUUUUAUUACCCAUAAGCGUUAGUAUUUUCGGAGCAGUAUUGGUGGUGUAUAAUCUCUUGUUAUGAACACAAAGCGGUUGGCGUG